CUAGCCUGCUCNCUGACAUAAAGUGUUAAAUAGCCGCGGUAUCUUGACCGCGCAAGGGUAGCAUAAUCGUUAGUUCCUUAAUUGGGAACUUGUAUGAAUGGUUGGACAAAGAAAAAUCUGUCUCUUGCACUGAAAUUAAAUUUAACUUCUAAGUGAAAAGGCUUAGAUUAUCCAGAGGAACGAUAAGACCCUAAAAGGCUUUAUAAAUUUAUUAUUUUCGUUUAUUUUUUAAAAUAAUAAUGAUGAUAAGAGAAUUUAUUUGGUUGGGGCACCCGAAGUAUAAUUUUAAAUAACUGCUAUAAUUUAAUACAAUGAUUUUUGUCUUAUACAAUAAUUGAUCCUAAAAGAGAUUAAAGACCAAGUUACUUUAGGGAUAACAGCGUAAGUUUAUCCUGAGAGUUCUUAUAAAAGGAAAAGUUUGCGACCUCGAUGUUGAAUUAAAAUGUCUACCUAGUGCAGCAGCUAGGAAAGAAGGUCUGUUCGACCUUUAAUUUUUUACAUGAUC
rnacentral:rRNA from 1 species